GACCUGAGUUCAGACAAGGCUACCCGCUGAAUUUAAGCAUAUUACUAAGCGGAGGAAAAGAAAAUAACAAUGAUUCCCCUAGUAACGGCGAGCGAACCGGGAAGAGCCCAACUUGAAAAUCUGGAGGCUUGUCCUUCCGAAUUGUAGUCUAGAGAAGUGCCAUCUGCGGCUGGCUGGUCGAAAGUUCCCUGGAAAGGGACGUCAGAGAGGGUGAGAGCCCCGUCACGAUCGGUUAAGUUGCUCCACGAUGCGCUUUCGAGGAGUCGGGUUGUUUGGGAAUGCAGCCCUAAGCGGGAGGUAAAUUCCUUCUAAGGCUAAAUAUUGGCGAGAGACCGAUAGCGAACAAGUACCGCGAGGGAAAG
rnacentral:rRNA from 1 species